UACGUAGGGUGCAAGCGUUAAUCGGAAUUACUGGGCGUAAAGCGUGCGCAGGCGGUUUUGUAAGUCUGACGUGAAAUCCCCGGGCUCAACCUGGGAAUUGCGUUGGAGACUGCAAGGCUAGAAUCUGGCAGAGGGGGGUAGAAUUCCACGUGUAGCAGUGAAUGCGUAGAGAUGUGGAGGAACACCGAUGGCGAAGGCAGCCCCCUGGGUCAAGAUUGACGCUCAUGCACGAAAGCGUGGGGAGCAAACAGG
rnacentral:rRNA from 1 species